UAGCAGCAGUCCCUGGUAGGCAGCAAUGGCUAACAAUCAACUGGGGCAGCAGCUGUGAGAAGUGCAGUGUUAACAUCCAUCACCUCCUGGCACGGACAUCGUCCUCCUUCAAAGUGACAGAUCAGAAGGACCAAUAGAUGGGUCCGAGGGAAAUUUGAGUAUAAGUGGUAACAGUCUAAGCAAAACAAGGUGGGAAAGCAAAGGAGAAUUCUAUCAUGAUGAACGUAGGGUAUUGACAUUUUGAAUUGAAGAUGGUGGACACCAGGAUGAAGUUGCAUUGGUGUUACAGACUAAGGUUUGAAACAUUUAUUGAAAUCAGAUAAUGUACAGUGAUCUGACUCUCCACAGAUAGUACAAGACGAUAGCUUUCAUCUACAAGUAUCUUAGCCACAAAAAUAUCCAGACAGACAAGUGGAUUUCAGAUGUCAUAGAAUACAGGCAGGAUUGAAGCAACUAUACAGUAUGUAUGACUCAGCUGGAGGGCUGAGUCACUGACGACCUGCUGAAGAAACCAUCAGCCACAGGGGUGCUCACAAGAGGUGGAUGAUAACCUUUUUCAAGAACUAAGAAACAGCAGUCUCAUAGCCAACCAGAAGGGGGCACUCACAAGAGCACAAAAUGCAAUAGAUGAUUUCCAGACAAGUCUGCAGAUCAAGGUACAGCUCCAAAGAGCUCACAUCUUAAUGAACAGCAAGCAAACAAAGGAUGAGUUUACAGAGAAAAGAAAAAAGCAGUGCAAGCACAUAUUGAAGUCAAAUUCAUCUUUUUAGCUGUCUAUAUUUUUUUCUUCUACAAUUUGUUGAGUUCAGUGUUAGCAUUCCGAUAAUAAUUUCCUGAGUGGCUGGAAAAUGUGGAGGAUCUGACAUAGCCCUUACACCUUUAAACGUCCUCUCUAAUACACAUAAUCUCCCAUUUGUCUCCUUGAAGUUGUGUAGGAGUCUCUAUUAAAGAUGAUUAAACUGUGUAGUUUGU